UACGUAGGGCGCAAGCGUUGUCCGGAUUUAUUGGGCGUAAAGAGCUCGUAGGCGGUCUGUCACGUCGGCUGUGAAAACUCGGGGCUCAACCCCGAGCCUGCAGUCGAUACGGGCAGACUAGAGUGCUGUAGGGGAGACUGGAAUUCCCUGGUGUAGCGGUGAAAUGCGCAGAUAUCAGGAGGAACACCGGUGGCGAAGGCGGGUCUCUGGGCAGUAACUGACGCUGAGGAGCGAAAGCGUGGGGGAGCGAACAGG
rnacentral:rRNA from 1 species